rnacentral:tRNA from 1 species
GCCGCGAUGGUGGAAUUGGUAGACACGCUGGUCUUAGGAACCAGUGCCUUAGGGCGUGAAGGUUCGAGUCCUUUUCGCGGCACAA